rnacentral:rRNA from 1 species
GGAGUUUGGACCGUGUCUCAGUUCCAAUGUGGGGGACCUUCCUCUCAGAACCCCUACUGAUCGUCGGCCAGGUGGGGCGUUACCCCGCCUGCAACCUAAUCAGACGCAUCCCCAUCCCAUAGCGAUGAAUCUUUCGUCCAGGUCAGAUGUCUUCUCUGGACAACAUAGGGAAUUAAUCCGACUUUCGCCGGGCUAUCCUCUACUAAGGGGAAGGUUGGAUACGCGUUACUCACCCGUGCGCCGGUCGCCAUCUAUCAAAGCAAGCUUCGAUAAUGAUGCCCCUCGACUUGCAUGUGUUAAGCCUGUAGCUAGCGUUCAUC